CGAGCACGCGCGUGUGGCAUAUCAAUAAGCGGAGGAAAAGAGACUAACAAGGAUUCCCUUAGUAACGGCGAGUGAAGCGGGAAGAGCUCAAAUUUGAAAUCUUCAAGGUUCUACCUUGACGAAUUGUAGUUUAAAGAAGUGUUUUCUGUUAGUGGAGUGGCAAAAGUUCUUUGGAAUAGGACAUCAUAGAGGGUGAGAAUCCCGUAUUUGGUCAUUCUCUUCCUAGCUUUGUGAUACACUUUCAACGAGUCGGAUUGUUUGGGAAUGCAGUCCAAAAUGGGUGGUAAAUUUCAUCUAAAGCUAAAUAUUGGCGAGAGACCGAUAGCGAACAAGUACCGUGAGGGAAAGAUGAAAAGAACUUUGAAAAGAGAGUUAAACAGUACGUGAAAUUGUCAAAAGGGAAGCGUUUGACACCAGUGUUGUUUUUUCCGAAAAUCAAUUACGAAUGUUUUGUUUUUGAGGAGUUAUGACUUCAUCGGCUUGCUCCUUUCUUUAUGAAACUUUCUUAAUGCACUUUUCGGUUAACAAGUCAACAUCAAUUUCUUUUGUUGUAAAAGGGUAUGAGGAAGGUGGCUUUCUUUUCGGAGAAAGUGUUUAUAGCCUUGUGCCUCUACAAUCGGAGAGAUUGAGGUCUGCAGCGUAGAUCCUUCGGGGUUAGAUACGUUUGUGCUAAGUUAUAGCUUUUCAUAGACAACUUGUUGACUAUGUUUAGUCUUGUAGCUUACUCGCUGACGCUAUUUUACCUACGCUUAGGAUGUUGAACUCUAUCACACACAG
rnacentral:rRNA from 1 species